rnacentral:rRNA from 1 species
UAGUUUUUUAAUUGAAAGCUGGAAUGAAUGGCUGAAUAAGGAAGUGACUGUCUCUUUUUAAAUGAUUAGAAUUUUAUUUUUAAGUUAAAAAGCUUAAAUUUGAUAAAAAGACGAGAAGACCCUAUAGAGUUUAAUAUAUUUAUAUUCUUAUAGAUUUGGGUUUAAUUAUGUAAGGAUUGUUAUAUAUUUUGUUGGGGUGACAAUAGAAUUUAAUAAACUUCUUUUAAAUAAUCAUUGAUUUAUGAAUAAAUGAUCCUAAUUUUUAGAUUAAAAGAAUAAAUUACCUUAGGGAUAACAGCGUAAUUUUUUUGGAGAGUUCUUAUCGAUAAAAAAGAUUGCGACCUCGAUGUUGGAUUAAAGUUUAGUGCUGGUGAAGAAGCUAGUAUAUUAAGUCUGUUCGAC